CAUCGCUUCUCCGUGAGACGUACACAAACACACACACACACACACACACACACACAUAGGCACACAGAGACCCGCCUACGGCCAUCGCUCACCAUCAUCGCUGUCAUAGAAAUCAAAACGCACCCAUAGAGUGGAACGAAGAAGCGCGAAGGGCAUAGACACCAUCGCAGGGCGUCUCUCCCCCUCUCUCCUUCUAUCACUCAACUACGUCUCAUGCGCCAUGGCCGAUAACGAAGUGGAUGUCAUUCUCCAGAACUACUUUGCCACUAUCGCGGAGAAAGACUCCGAUGCGCUCAAGUUGUAUGAGGACAACAAGCGCAUGCGCCGCCUUGUUGAGCAGACACUGAAGGCUCGCGAAGAGCUGGAGGCGCAGCACUGCGCAACGCAGUUACUCGUCACAUCGCUACAGAACGACCUCCGCGAGAAGCAGCACAUCAUAGAAACCCAAGACAAGGCAAGCGCCCUCUGGCGUGACGGCAUCGCGGAACUGAGAAGCAUUCUUGAACGUCCCUCCGAGGCAGCUCAUGGGCUGAGCGACGUCGUCGACGACGUGCGACGCAUGUCGGCGGAGCUGCGCAGCCUUCGGCAAGGCAUGGAGUACGCGCAGUGGUGCUGCAACGAAUGGGAAGGCUACUUGUUGGAGUCACUUGUUGCUUCAGAGGCCCGCGAGCGCCGCGCGCUCGAACGCUCAGCCGUUCACUCGCUUCAAGCGCUGUGCGAGGCCGCCGCUGAGGUUCGCAGUCUGUCUAUGUGGGCUGCUGCCCAGGAAGCGGCGACGGGGUCCACGAUCGCGCGCUGGGAAGCCUGGCACGCGACGACGCAGCAAGAGCGCGAGAGCGUGGCACAGAAGCACGCACAGGCGCUGCAUCGAGCAGAGCUCGAGGUGCUUCAUCACGCCCGCCAUGCCGAAGCCGCACAUGAGAAGGCGGAGGAAAUGGUGCAGCGGCUGGCAGCUCAUGAGCAGGAGGAACGAGCUGCUCACGAGCGGAGAGCUCUGGAGGCAAAGACGCAAGUGGGCUUAGUCGACCUGCUCGUCCGCCGAUGCACCGCCGCGGAAGAGAAGUGGUGCGACGCUGUGCUGGAAGUGCGUACGGUUACACACCGCCUACAAAGGACCAUGGAGGAGUUGAGCGGCCUGUCUGAGGAACACGAACAGGCCCUUGUGGAGCAGGAGCAGAACCGCUUACGUGUCUCGAAACUUGCGAAGAAAGUGGAGCAGCUCAAAGAACAGCAGUCGGAAAUGGAGGCGCUGCAGCAGCGUUGCAGUUCGCAACAAGAAGAUCUGCAGGCCCUUCGGGACAAGUACGUGGCCAUCGCAGACAAGGAGCGCAACCUGCGAUACCAGCUGAGCACCUCCACGGAAAGUGCCGCCGCGAAGCUGCUGAGUGUGGAGGAAUCCCUCCAGGCGGCUGAGCGGCGCGCCGCUGUGCUGGAAGAGCGUCUCCGUACCACGCAAGAAGAAGCCUGGGCGGCGCAGAAAGACAUUGCGGCUCUGCGGCGGCAAGUGGAGCAGCAUCGCGCGACAGAUGCGGUGCUGAAAGCCACGCAACAGCAGCUGCGCGAGACGGAAAAACACGCUUUCAACCUUCAGGAAGCAUUGGACGUGUUAAAGGCUGAGCACCAGGCGCAGCUGCUGGCCGAACGCGAGAGUCACGCGGCAGAGAUGGUCGCGCUCGCCGAGGCCAACGAGGAUGCGCUUCAGAGCCAAGCUUCAGAGGCUCGUGCGCGCGCUGUAGAGGCAGAGGAACGCAUGCAGCGAGCACAGGAAACUGCUAUGCGUGAAAAGGAAGCACUGCAGCGAGAGCUGCAAGCGUGGACGGCGGAGGUGGACACUUUGAAAUCGGAGCUUGCCAGAGGCCGCCAGCGUGCUGAGGCAGAGAAAACCGCGAGAGAAGUACUCGAGCAGCAGAACCGCAGCGAGACGAGCGUUGUGCGCAGCAUGGUGGAGCUCAGCUUCGAUGAUGCGCGGCGGGGCCUGCAGGUGGUGGAGCUGCAGGGGCGCCUCAAAAGUGUCCAGCAGCGCAACCGCCUUCUGGAAGAAGCGUGCCAGCGCAGUGCCGGUGUCAUUGCACAACUACGGGAAGCACUGUACCGUGAGCAGAUGACGUCACGCACGCUGCGGCUGAAAGACGACUCCCUGUCUGCUUAGCGCAUGGCGCGCGCACACACAAACGCACUCACAGAGAAACAUACAUGCCUCUAGCCGGUGAGGUCGCAGUACUGCCGUCGGCUGGGUCGCUGGCCCUGUCCCCGGGUCAUACACCGGCCAUCCUCAUCUCUUACCUUCUUGCUCAUCUCUCUCACUGCUUUCUCCUUGACGCCGCACAAGCUGCUCCGAUGAGAUCAGUCUCGCAAUCGAUGGGUGGCAGGUGGGCGUGUCCGCUCCAUCGAUCCCCCGCACUGCUCCGAACCCCUUUUCGUCGUCGUCGUUUGCCUGGCAGAUGCUGAUGAGCACGGACGAAUCAG
rnacentral:misc_RNA from 1 species